rnacentral:rRNA from 2 species
AUACCGGCAGCACGAGUGAUGGCCGAUUUUAUUGGGCCUAAAGCGUCCGUAGCCGGCCGGACAAGUCCGUUGGGAAAUCGACGCGCUCAACGCGUCGGCGUCCAGCGGAAACUGUUCGGCUUGGGGCCGGAAGACCUGGGGGGUACGUCCGGGGUAGGAGUGAAAUCCUGUAAUCCUGGACGGACCACCAAUGGCGAAAGCACCUCAGGAAGACGGACCCGACGGUGAGGGACGAAAGCUAGGGUCUCGAACCGGAUUAGAUACGCGGGUAGUCCUAGCUGUAAACGAUGCUCGCUAGGUGUGCCGCAGGCUACGAGCCUGCGCUGCGCCCUAGGGAAGCCGAGAAGCGAGCCGCCUGGGAAGUACGUCUGCAAGGAUGAA